rnacentral:rRNA from 1 species
UGGGGAAUUUUGGACAAUGGGCGCAAGCCUGAUCCAGCCAUGCCGCGUGCGGGAAGAAGGCCUUCGGGUUGUAGACCGCUUUUGUCAGGGAAGAAAUCUUCUGAGUUAAUACCUCGGGAGGAUGACGGUACCUGAAGAAUAAGCACCGGCUAACUACGUGCCAGCAGCCGCGGUAAUACGUAGGGUGCAAGCGUUAAUCGGAAUUACUGGGCGUAAAGCGUGCGCAGGCGGUUUUGUAAGACAGAGGUGAAAUCCCCGGGCUCAACCUGGGAACUGCCUUUGUGACUGCAAGGCUUGAGUGCGGCAGAGGGGGAUGGAAUUCCGCGUGUAGCAGUGAAAUGCGUAGAUAUGCGGAGGAACACCGAUGGCGAAGGCAAUCCCCUGGGCCUGCACUGACGCUCAUGCACGAAAGCGUGGGGAGCAAACAGGAUUAGAUACCCUGGUAGUCCACGCCCUAAACGAUGUCAACUGGUUGUUGGGAAGGUUCCUUCUCAGUAACGUAGCUAACGC